CGCCCUUAGAGUUUGAUCAUGGCUCAGAUUGAACGCUGGCGGCAGGCUUAACACAUGCAAGUCGAACGGUAAAGUAGCUUGCUACUUACGAGUGGCGGACGGGUGAGUAACGUAUGGGAAUUUACCGAAUGGAGGGGGACAACAGUUGGAAACGGCUGCUAAUACCGCAUAACGUCGAGAGACCAAAGGGUUUCGACUUGCCAUUUGAUGAGCCCAUAUGAGAUUAGCUAGUUGGUGUGGUAAUGGCUCACCAAGGCGACGAUCUCUAGCUGGUUUGAGAGGAUGACCAGCCACACUGGGACUGAGACACGGCCCAGACUCCUACGGGAGGCAGCAGUGGGGAAUAUUGCACAAUGGGGGGAACCCUGAUGCAGCCAUGCCGCGUGUAUGAAGAAGGCCUUAGGGUUGUAAAGUACUUUCGUGGAGGAGGAAGGGUUUACGUAAUCGUGGACAUUGACGUUACUCCAAGAAGAAGCACCGGCUAACUCCGUGCCAGCAGCCGCGGUAAUACGGAGGGUGCGAGCGUUAAUCGGAAUGACUGGGCGUAAAGGGCA
rnacentral:rRNA from 1 species